rnacentral:rRNA from 1 species
GACGAACGCUGGCGGCGUGCUUAACACAUGCAAGUCGAACGGAAAGACCCUGCUUUUGUGGGGUGCUCGAGUGGCGAACGGGUGAGUAACACGUGAGUAACCUGCCCUUGACUUUGGGAUAACUUCAGGAAACUGGGGCUAAUACCGGAUAGGAGCUCCUGCUGCAUGGUGGGGGUUGGAAAGUUUCGGCGGUUGGGGAUGGACUCGCGGCUUAUCAGCUUGUUGGUGGGGUAGUGGCUUACCAAGGCUUUGACGGGUAGCCGGCCUGAGAGGGUGACCGGCCACAUUGGGACUGAGAUACGGCCCAGACUCCUACGGGAGGCAGCAGUGGGGAAUAUUGCACAAUGGGCGGAAGCCUGAUGCAGCAACGCCGCGUGCGGGAUGACGGCCUUCGGGUUGUAAACCGCUUUCGCCUGUGACGAAGCGUGAGUGACAGUAAUGGGUAAAGAAGCACCGGCUAACUACGUG